AUUCCUUCUGUUCUCACUCAUGCCUGCUAUCUUCAGCUUCCCUUUCUUAACUCUCUCACCCUGACUCCGACAACCAACCACAUGGUGGUUGCCAACAACGCGACCACCACCUCUCCUUCGUCUCCCUACCUUGGCCACCCUCUCACCCCCUGCUGCUCAUUUUAUAAAUCUCUCCUCUCUCUGACAUAACAAGACCCAAAUUGGGGAAAGAGAAAUUGGGUUUUUUUAUCGAGUUCUUCAGUCGCAACAAGGAUUGAAGGUGCCCAAGCUCUGAUGCAGAUUUACCUUUCAAGUUGCUUUGGACCUAUUCCAUAGAAAGAUGAUUGAAUACAUUGAAAAGAAGAUGGCGAAGUUGUACUCUCAGUUUAGGCACCGGUUACAUCGGCACUACUGGUCAUGUGUGAAACACCUGUGAGAGGAUGAGCUAAACUUCCAAAUGAUCUAAUGUGGAAUGGGAGACCAAAGAGUCAUUGGGACUGGUUAUGCGAUAAUGUUUACACUACUACACUUUUUUUGUUAAUGUAAGAGCUUUCAAAGCAAAAUGCUGAUAAUUGGAAGAAACAAAAGUAUCACCACAAGGGAAGGGCAAGGCUAUUCAUCCAACAUGCUAGGAAGGCUCCUGAGGUAAUGAAAUUAAAUUUCUUAUAAUACUCAUUAUGCAGUUUAUGUAUUCUAAUAUAUGUUUCUGCAUUAUUGAACAUGAUCUCCAUUAUAUGUCAUUGACAAUUGGGGGCUCUCCACAAAGACAAGAACGGCCAAUGGAUCAAUGAUGUUGCUCGAGACAAAUAUUUAAGUUAUUCACUUCACGGGCAUAUCAUUUUUGUCAUUUCAAGGAAGUUGGAGAUUAACUUGCAACUCCCUUGAAAUGACUAGCUAGAACUUUUGGAAGAAAAAAGACAAAAAAAAAAAAAAACUUGAUAUAACUAGCUAGAAGCUAAAAGGUUUAGAGUCGGCCUUUAUGAAAUAAAUUACAAUUGUGUUCUUAAUUAGUUUAUGUUUUUCUUCAUUUUGUUUGUCCCACCAGUAAAUGCUUAUGCUAUUGACGCUUCUUGUUACUUUUUGAGAAAAACUUUUAGUGCCUAGUUCAAUUUAACCCACGUUCAAACAGAAACUACAAAAUAAUAUGUGAAGACAGGUUAUACGUACCUGGUGAUUUUCUUUUUACAUCCGUUAAGGAUCACAUACAAAUGGUUAAGUUGUGUUUUCUUAAGCAUAUUGUAGCUGAUCUGGUCGAAACAUAUAAAACUGAUAUAUUUCUAUUUUAUUAAGGAUAACAUCAAGAAAAAGAAAGAGGAAGUUAGGGAGUAGCUUCCAAGAAGCACCUAGGGUACUCCAUUAGAUUUCAUGCAAGUGUCUUUAUAUGAUGAGUUUGGAAUCAUGGCUGAGCUUGAAGCAUGCACAUGGUAGACCUCUUUGGUUAGCACCUCAAUGUGUCUUAGCAUUUUUUUUUUUUUUUGGUUAAUACCUCAAGCUGUUUAUGUAUAGACGUUGGUGCCCUUCAUGAUAAUUUGCUAUUAUUGAGAUAGGUCACCAUGAAUUAGAUUGAUUUUGGGAUGUUUAUGUUAUUUUGGGGGUGUACGCUUGGUUAAUGUAUUCGACUGAAGUAUGUGUUUUAAUUGUUGACUAAUGAAAGUG